rfam:Talaromyces stipitatus ATCC 10500 scf_1105507295523 genomic scaffold, whole genome shotgun sequence.
GGGCGAAUGGUUUAGUGGUAUAACGCAUCUUUAGCAUAGAUGAGGUCCCGGUUUCGAUUACCGGUUUGUCCA